AGUAACGCGUGAGGAACCUGCCUCAAAGAGGGGGACAACAGUUGGAAACGACUGCUAAUACCGCAUAAGCCCACGGCUCGGCAUCGAGCAGAGGGAAAAGGAGCAAUCCGCUUCGAGAUGGCCUCGCGUCCGAUUAGCUAGUUGGUGAGGUAAUGGCCCACCAAGGCGACGAUCGGUAGCCGGACUGAGAGGUUGAACGGCCACAUUGGGACUGAGACACGGCCCAG
rnacentral:rRNA from 1 species